rnacentral:rRNA from 1 species
ACGGAAGGCAGCAGUGAGGAAUAUUGGUCAAUGGAGGCAACUCUGAACCAGCCAUCUCGCGUGAAGGAAUACGGCCCUACGGGUCUUAAACUUCUUUUAUAGGGGGAUAAAGUGAGCCACGAGUGGCUUUUUGUAGGUACCCUAUGAAUAAGCAUCAGCUAACUCCGUGCCAGCAGCCGCGGUAAUACGGAGGAUGCGAGCGUUAUCCGGAUUUAUUGGGUUUAAAGGGUGCGCAGGCGGCACGUUAAGUCAGCGGUGAAAUGUCGGGGCUCAACCCGGGCACUGCCGUUGAAACUGGCGAGCUUGAGUACGGAUGAAGUCGGCGGAAUGUGAUGUGUAGCGGUGAAAUGCUUAGAUAUGUCACAGAACACCGAUUGCGAAGGCAGCGGACUAAUCCGCAACUGACGCUCAGGCACGAAAGCGUGGGGAUCGAACAGGAUUAGAUACCCUGGUA